rnacentral:rRNA from 1 species
UACGUAGGGGGCGAGCGUUGUCCGAAGUUACUGGGCGUAAAGCGCGCGUAGGCGGUUUAUUAAGUCUGAGGUGAAAGGUUCAGCGCUCAACGCGAACAGUGCCUUGGAUACUGGUAGACUUGAGUGUGGCAGAGGAGUAUGGAAUUCCUGGUGUAGCGGUGAAAUGCGUAGAUAUCAGGAGGAAUACCGAUGGCGAAGGCAGUACUCUGGGCUAACACUGACGCUGAGGUGCGAAAGCGCGGGGAGCAAACGGG